UACGUAGGGGGCUAGCGUUGUCCGGAAUCAUUGGCGUAAAGAGCGUGUAGGCGGCUCGGUAAGUCCGCUGUGAAAGUCCAGGGCUCAACCCUGGAAUGCCAGUGGAAACUGUCGAGCUAGAGUCCGGAAGAGGCGAGUGGAAUUCCUGGUGUAGCGGUGAAAUGCGCAGAUAUCAGGAGGAACACCAAUGGCGAAGGCGAGUCCCUGGACAGGUCCUGACCGCUGAGGCACGAAAGCUAGGGGAGCAAACAGG
rnacentral:rRNA from 1 species